rnacentral:rRNA from 1 species
UACGGGGGGAGCAAGCGUUGUUCGGAUUUACUGGGCGUAAAGGGCGCGUAGGCGGCGCAACAAGUCACUUGUGAAAUCUCCGGGCUUAACUCGGAACCGGUCAAGUGAUACUGUCGGACUAGAGUACAGAAGGGGGCAACUGGAAUUCUCGGUGUAGCGGUGAAAUGCAUAGAUAUCGAGAGGAACACCUGCGGCGAAGGCGGGUUGCUGGCCGAUACUGACGCUGAGG